UACGUAGGGUGCGAGCGUUGUCCGGAAUUAUUGGGCGUAAAGAGCUCGUAGGCGGUGUGUCGCGUCGGCCGUGAAAACCUGCAGCUUAACUGUGGGCGUGCGGUCGAUACGGGCAUCACUGGAGUUCGGCAGGGGAGACUGGAAUUCCUGGUGUAGCGGUGAAAUGCGCAGAUAUCAGGAGGAACACCGGUGGCGAAGGCGGGUCUCUGGGCCAUAACUGACGCUGAGAAGCGAAAGCAUGGGGAGCGAACAGG
rnacentral:rRNA from 1 species